CAAACCCUUGUUUUCCGCAAUGUGUAUGUUUUCUUUUUCUUUUUCUUUUCUUUUUUAUUUCUUAUUCUGAUUUUAUGUAUAAAACCCUAAUUUCCUCCACAAUCCCUAUCCACUUUCUCUCUCAAGCGCUCCACUCUCCCCUCGGCUUCUUUAUACCCUGUCAGAAGUCGGUCUAAUAGGUAUAAUUUCAACUUAUCAACAUUUAACGUCGCUCACUGCCGACCUUCUGCUACACUUAUGGCUAGUGAAACUCUCACGAACCCUACCAAUGGAAGUGUCAUUACAAGUUCCAAUCCACAGAGGACUUAUCAAGUUGUUGUUGCUGCGACCCAGAAUAUGGGCAUUGGCAAGGAUGGUAGUUUGCCCUGGAGUUUACCUUCUGACCUGAAAUUUUUCAAAGAUGUCACCAUGACCACAUCAGAUCCUUUGAAAAGGAAUGCAGUUAUAAUGGGCAGGAAAACAUGGGAAAGCAUUCCGCUUCAGCAUCGCCCUCUGCCUGGACGCUUUAAUGUUGUUCUGACUCGUUCAGGAAGCUUUGACAUUGCAACUGCCGAAAAUGUUGUGAUAUGUGGAAGCCUGCUUUCUGCUCUGGAAUUAUUAGCAGAAUCUCCUUACUGUGUUUCGAUCGAAAAGGUGUUUGUCAUAGGGGGUGGCCAGAUAUAUAGGGAAGCUCUUAAUGCUCCUGGAUGUGACGCAGUCCACAUCACCGAAAUCGGAAAACACAUCGAAUGUGAUACCUUCAUCCCUGCGCUCGAUGAAUCUGUUUUUCAGCCGUGGUACUCAUCAUUUCCAGUGGUGGAAAACAACAUCCGUUACUGUUUUACAACUUACGUUCGUGUGAGGAAUUCUGGUGUGGAGCUUGCAAGUGAGGCAAAUGGUCUGUUGUCUGAUGGUAACUCAGAUUCUGGUAAGUUUGAAGUUCAGAGGUUCUCUUUUCUCCCAAAGCCAGUUUUUGAGAAACAUCAGGAGUAUUUGUAUCUGAGGCUGGUUGAGAAUAUCAUUUUAAAUGGUGUGGAAAAGAAUGACAGGACUCGUACUGGUACUGUCUCUAUGUUUGGUUGCCAGAUGAGGUUCAAUUUGCGCAAAUCUUUUCCACUCCUUACAACCAAGGCAUUGUUUUGGAGAGGAGUUGUGGAAGAACUGCUUUGGUUCAUCAGUGGUUCAACUAAUGCGAAGGUUCUAAAGGAGAAGGGCAUCAAUAUUUGGGAAGGCAAUGGAUCCAGGGACUAUCUUGACAGUAUUGGUUUGACGCAUAGGGAAGAAGGUGACUUGGGUCCUAUAUAUGGUUUUCAGUGGAGACACUUUGGUGCAAGGUAUACUGAUAUGCAUGCUGACUACACUGGCCAAGGAUUUGAUCAGUUACAGGAUGUUAUUUCAAAGAUAAAAGAGAAUCCUGAUGACAGGAGGAUUAUCCUUUCAGCUUGGAACCCAUCCGAUCUAAAGUUAAUGGCACUUCCACCCUGCCACAUGUUUGCCCAGUUCUAUGUAGCAAAUGGCGAGUUAUCUUGUCAGAUGUACCAGCGCUCUGCUGAUAUGGGUCUUGGCGUGCCAUUCAAUAUUGCAUCCUAUGCGCUUUUAACAUGCAUGAUUGCUCAUGUUUGUGAUCUUGUGCCUGGUGAUUUUGUUCAUACCAUUGGAGAUGCUCAUAUCUACCUCAACCAUGUAAGGCCUCUUCAAGACCAGCUCCAGAAGCUGCCUAAGCCAUUUCCAGUCUUGAAGAUCAAUUCUGAGAAGAGGAACAUAGACUCAUUUGAGGCUGCUGAUUUCAAACUCGUUGGUUAUGAUCCCCACCAGAAAAUCGAAAUGAAAAUGGCAGUAUAACAUGAUGACUAUUGAAAAGUUUGGACUCUAACCUGCUUACAUGCAGUUGUUUUUCAGGAACAGCUACCGGAAGCUUUUGCAGCGAUCUCUAUCAUGACAUAAAUAUAAAAAGAAAUAUCUGAUGAAUAUAGUUAUAAUCAUAUGUAGAAAAUGAAAAUCCUUUAGGUCCACAGAUGAUCAGUGGUUCUAAGGUGAUUUAGGAUAUGUUUUUUACCUGACUUUCUGGCUUGGUCAGUGUCAGUCCCUGGAGCUUUUGGUUUAUAUUUGUGUUUAACCCCUCCUCUGGAAAUGUUUAACUUGGUAAAGACUUUUUGUUGAAUGUUGUAACAGAUUAAGGCUUUUUUUCCCCCAA